CGGUGGUGGAUACAAGGCAAGGUGCUACCGUCUUGAUCUACUACCUGCCUAUAGGGGGAUUAAUCAACCAAAACUUUUCCUGUGGUAUAAAGGGCGCGGCCUUGGGAUGUGUAAUGGAGGAUGACAAUCGGUUACAUCAUGUGUACCUAAAUCAUUCAGCUAUUGUGAUGGAGAGCAAGGAAGACAAGAGCUCCUUCGACUACUACAUCCUACUGUUUGGGUGUGAGAUGCUCAUGUGUGUGCUCAUGCUCAUCUGGACAUUCGCCCUAUUCAUAAAGCACGUGCG